rnacentral:rRNA from 1 species
CAGCCGCCGCGGGAAUACGGAGGGUGCAAGCGUUAUCCGGAUUUAUUGGGUUUAAAGGGUCCGUAGGCGGACUUAUAAGUCAGUGGUGAAAGCCUGUCGCUUAACGAUAGAACUGCCAUUGAUACUGUAAGUCUUGAGUAUAUUUGAGGUAGCUGGAAUAAGUAGUGUAGCGGUGAAAUGCAUAGAUAUUACUUAGAACACCAAUUGCGAAGGCAGGUUACCAAGAUAUAACUGACGCUGAGGGACGAAAGCGUGGGUAGCGAACAGGAUUAGAUACCCCUGUAGUCCUUGUCUCUUAUAA